rnacentral:rRNA from 1 species
CCAGACUCCUACGGGAGGCAGCAGUGAGGAAUAUUGGUCAAUGGCCGGAAGGCUGAACCAGCCAAGUCGCGUGAGGGACGACUGCCCUAUGGGUUGUAAACCUCUUUUAUAAGGGAAGAAUAAAUGCUACGUGUAGCAUGAUGCCUGUACCUUAUGAAUAAGCAUCGGCUAACUCCGUGCCAGCAGCCGCGGUAAUACGGAGGAUGCGAGCGUUAUCCGGAUUUAUUGGGUUUAAAGGGAGCGUAGAUGGGUUGUUAAGUCAGUUGUGAAAGUUUGCGGCUCAACCGUAAAAUUGCAAUUGAUACUGGCAGUCUUGAGUACAGUUGAGGUAGGCGGAAUUCGUGGUGUAGCGGUGAAAUGCAUAGAUAUCACGCAGAACUCCGAUUGCGAAGGCAGCUUACUAAACGAUAACUGACACUGAAGCACGAAAGCGUGGGGAUCAAACAGGAUUAGAUACCCUCGUACUC